rnacentral:rRNA from 1 species
AACGAACGCUGGCGGCAUGCCUAACACAUGCCAGUCGAACGAGACCUUCGGGUCUAGUGGCGCACGGGUGCGUAACGCGUGGGAACCUGCCUUUAGGUUCGGAAUAACUCAGAGAAAUUUGAGCUAAUACCGGAUGAUGUCUUCGGACCAAAGAUUUAUCGCCUUUAGAUGGGCCCGCGUUGGAUUAGCUAGUUGGUGGGGUAAAGGCCUACCAAGGCGACGAUCCAUAGCUGGUCUGAGAGGAUGAUCAGCCACACUGGGACUGAGACACGGCCCAGACUCCUACGGGAGGCAGCAGUGGGGAAUAUUGGACAAUGGGCGAAAGCCUGAUCCAGCAAUGCCGAGUGAGUGAUGAAGGCCUUAGGGUUGUAAAGCUCUUUUACCCGAGAUGAUAAUGACAGUAACGGGAGAAUAAGCUCCGGCUAACUCCGUG